rnacentral:tRNA from 1 species
AAAAAUGAUAAUUUUAUUAUUUACAAUAAUAAAGACCUUUUAGGCAUUUUUA